GGCUUUGUUGUGAGAGAACUUUUUAUAAAGAUAUCCUUAGUUAAAUUUUGGCGUGGAAGUGCGUAUUCAGUCUGUGGAAUUUGUAUUUCAGGGUAUGUUUCUUAUUUAAUUUUUGUAAUGUUAUUAUUUUUAAUUGUUAGUUAAAGUUUGAAUUUUUGAAGUUUAGUUAGUGUUGUUAAUAAACUAGUUAGUUUACUAUGUUUAUUUUGGCUUGG
rnacentral:lncRNA from 1 species